rnacentral:rRNA from 1 species
UGAGGAUGGCUCUGCGGCUUAUCAGGUUGUAGUGAGAGUAACGUCCUCACUAGCCUAUGACGGGUACGGGCCCUGAGAGGGGAUGCCCGGAGAUGGACUCUGAGACACGAGUCCAGGCCCUACGGGGCGCAGCAGGCGCGAAAACUCCGCAAUGCUCGAAAGAGUGACGGGGGGAUUCCAAGUGCCUACGCUUAGCGUAGGCUGUUCAGAUGCCUAAAAAGCAUCUGGAGUAAGGGCUGGGUAAGACGGGUGCCAUCUGUGGCAGCAGCCGAAGAUUUGGCUUGUUGCUGCAAGGCAUAAGCCGCCGCGGUAAUACCCGCAGCCCGAGUGGUGGUCGAUUUUAUUGGGCCUAAAGCGUCCGUAUCCGGUCUGAUAAAUGCCUGGGUAAAUCGUCUGGCUUAACCAGACGAAUUCCGGGUAGACUGUCAGACUUGGGACCGGUUGAGGAAGAGGGUACUUUAGGGGUAGGAGUGAAAUCCUGUAAUCCUUGAAGGACCACCAGUGGCGAAGGCGCUCUUCUAGGACGGGUCCGACGGUGAGGGACGAAAGCCAGGGGAGCAAACCGGAUUAGAUACCCGGGUAGUCCUGGCCGUAAACGAUGUGGGCUUUGCAUUGGGGGUUCUACGUGGGCGCCCAGUGCCGU